GGAAAUAAAAGCUGCCUGCCCCCCACACCAUCAGCCAGCAGCAACAACCCGUUCUGAUACCCUUGCAAGCUGUGGAAGGUUUGUCCGUUGGCUCUUCACAAUAAACCUUGCUACUCAUCACUGUUUGGGUCCCUACCAUCUUUAAAAGCUGUAAUACUCACCUGCUAUCUUUAAGAGCUGUAACGCUUAUUGUGACGAUCCGGGACUCCAUUCUUGGAAGUCAGCAAGACCACAGCAGAAACCGACUCCAGACAGUUUCCUGUGCUCCAGAUAGAAGACUUUGAGGGAUCGAGAACUUUUGGUGCUUAGCAUGAUGUUUCAAGUAUUCAUGAAAUAUUUCGGGAAUGGAACUGAUAGUUACUGAAAAGAGAUGUCAGCGGAAGGGGAGUAAGCUGAAGUCAAAGGACCAAGGCUCUAAUUCUACCCCUGCCAAAACCCAAGGUACCUUAGUCAAGCUCCCUAAGGCCUGUAAUUCAACUUCUGUGACAUGAAGAGUCCUUUUCAAACUCUAGGAUUAUAUUAUUUGUG
rnacentral:lncRNA from 10 species